rnacentral:rRNA from 1 species
AUGGCCCCCAAGGCGGAGAAGAAGCCGGUGGAGGAGAAGGCCGAGAAGACCACGGCGGGGAAGAAGACCAAGGCCGAGAAGAGGCCGCCGGCGUUCAAGGAGGGCGGCGCUGACAAGAAGGUCAAGAAGAAGUCCAAGAAGAGCGUGGAGACGUACAAGAUCUACAUCUUCAAGGUGCUGAAGCAGGUGCACCCGGACAUCGGCAUCUCCUCCAAGGCCAUGUCCAUCAUGAACUCCUUCAUCAAUGACAUCUUCGAGAAGCUCGCCGGCGAGUCCGCCAAGCUCGCGAGGUACAACAAGAAGCCCACCAUCACGUCCCGGGAGAUCCAGACCUCCGUCCGCCUUGUCCUCCCCGGCGAGCUCGCCAAGCACGCCGUCUCCGAGGGCACCAAGGCCGUCACCAAGUUCACCUCCGCAUAG